rnacentral:rRNA from 1 species
UCCGGUUGAUCCUGCAGAGGUUACUGCUAUCGGGGUCCGACUAAGCAUGCGAGUCGAGAGGGUAAAGCCCUCGGCGUAUUGCUCAGUAACACGCGGAUAACCUGCCCUUGGGUCCGGGAUAACCCCGGGAAACUGGGACUAAUACCGGAUAGAUCAAAGAUACUGGAAUGUUCUCUGGUCCAAAACUCCGGUGCCCAAGGAUGGGUCUGCGGCCUAUCAGGUUGUAGUGGGUGUAACGUACCUACUAGCCUACGACGGGUAAGGGUUGUGAGAGCAAGAUCCCUGAGAUGGAUUCUGAGACAUGAAUCCAGGCCCUACGGGGUGCAGCAGGCGCGGAACCUUCACACUGCGGGAAACCGCGAUAAGGGGACCCCGAGUGCCAGCACCUAGUGCUGGCUGUCCCGCUGUCUAAAUAACAGUGGUUAGCAAGGGCCGGGCAAGACCGGUGCCAGCCGCCGCGGUAACACCGGCGGCCCGAGUGGUAGCCGCUAUUAUUGGGUUUAAAGGGCCCGUAGCCGGCCUAUUAAGUCUCUUGGGAAAUCUGGCGGCUUAAUCGUCAGGCGUCCAAGAGAUACUGGUAGGCUUGGGACCGGGAGAGGUGGGAGGUACUCCAGGGGUAGGGGUGAAAUCUCGUAAUCCUUGGGGGACCACCGAUGGCGAAGGCAUCCCACCAGAACGGGUCCGACGGUGAGGGACGAAAGCUGGGGGCACGAACCGGAUUAGAUACCCGGGUAGUCCCAGCUGUAAACGAUGCUCGCUAGGUGUCAGGUGCGGUGCGACCGCAUCUGGUGCCGCAGUGAAAACUUGAAGCGAGUCACCUGGGAAGUACGGUCGCAAGGCUGAAACUUAAAGGAAUUGGCGGGGGAGCA